UCCUUAAAACGAUUUAUAUUUUUUUGCACUAUGCACCCUCAUGGUUUCAAUUUAUCAUAUCAUGCCACCCUGCACAGGUCGUCUCUUCUUCGUCCAUGUAGAGGGUGAAAUGACUAUUAUACCCUCAAUCUCUGCUUUCCUGCAUUUCAAGCCUUGAUUUUAAACCCUGUUCCCAUUGAUCAAUCCAUCUUCCCUAUAUGCAUCUUAUUUGGUCAAUCCAUCUUCGAAAUCAACAAUCCAUUUAUAAUCUGGGUGAAUCGUUUACAACGUCGUAGUUCUCAUCAUCGUCAUCUUCGAAAUUAAGCUCAAACAGGGUUGAGGUAUCGAAUGUGAUUUGCUUUUGUGGCACUGGUACCUACUAUCGCGUCUCUAGGACUGAAGCUAACCCUGGCCGAUGAUUCUCGUGUUGUGCAACUCGAAUGAGGCUUCGGGAGGCCAAGUCGGGAAGAACUCUCGUCUCAAAGGAAAGCUAUAAGGUAACUACUAAGUUAAGACCCUGGAUGAAGAUCAAUCCACGUCAAGAAUCAAACACUCGUUAGCAUCCGCUUUUGUUAAUAUGCUUUUGAAAUGUAAAACAUGUGGACUUGUAUUUUGAAUUGAAUGAUUGCUACCUUGUCUAGCUUAUGUUUUAAAGAGAAUGUAAACUUCUCUUGAAUUAGUUCGUAUAAAAUGUAAAUUUUAUAUUCUUCUUUAA